AGAUUUGCGCAGUGGCGAUAUCGUAACCAAUGAGGUUUUACCGAGGUGCAAUUAUUGUUAGUUGAAAAAAAUCCUUUUUAAUAGUGUAUCAUGUUUUCUACGAGGAAUUUGGAAGGUUCCGAGUCCGAGUAAGAGU